AUUGAACGCUGGCGGCAGGCCUAACACAUGCAAGUCGAGCGAGCGGCGGACGGGUGAGUAAUGUAUGGGGACUGCCCGAUAGAGGGGGAUAACUACUGGAAACGGUGGCUAAUACCGCAUACCAUCGGAUAACCCAGAUGGGAUUAGCUAGUAGGUAGGGUAACGGCUCACCUAGGCGACGAUCCCUAGCUGGUCUGAGAGGAUGACCAGCAACACUGGAACUGAGACACGGCCCAGACUCCUACGGAGGCAGCAGUGGGGAAUAUUGCACAAUGGGCGCAAGCCUGAUGCAGCCAUGCCGCGUGUAUGAAGAAGGCCCUAGGGUUGUAAAGUACUUUCAGUCGGGAGGCGUUACCCACAGAAGAAGCACCGGCUAACUCCGUGCCAGCCGCCGCGGUAAUUC
rnacentral:rRNA from 1 species